AAUAGCAUUUGUCACUACUGUGUGUUGCUUUAGGUAUAUUUACUGGGCUGAUUGAUCUUUUGGAGCCAUUAGGAGUAGAUCUUCCUCCACAGUUGCUCCAUCAUCGACAGAAUGAGGCAGAGAGAAGGAGGAGAAAACGUAUGCUACAAGACGACGCCCCAAAAGUCGAUUAUCAUAAAAAGGAAUCCUUGCUUAGUCUUAUUCAAAGCAGUAGCAAGUGGAAACACUAAUCGUUUCAAUAUUAAUCAUAAUUCUGAUGAAAUCAUAAAGUGUCUAUUUCAUUCCCAACAAUUGUUCUACUUCUAUCAUGAUUUUAUAUAACUGUAUGUCAAUCUUUUUUCUUUCUCUAUUGCUCCUUUAUCAGCUCUA